CAUCGUAUUGAUAAUAAAGAUUUAUCGGUAUAAGAUGGGCAUGCGUAUCAUUAGCUAGUUGGUGUGGUAACGGCAUACCAAGGCAACGAUGAUUAGGGGUCCUGAGAGGGAGAUCCCCCACACUGGUACUGAGACACGGACCAGACUCCUACGGGAGGCAGCAGUGAGGAAUAUUGGUCAAUGGAGGCAACUCUGAACCAGCCAUGCCGCGUGCAGGAUGACGGUCCUAUGGAUUGUAAACUGCUUUUGUACAGGAAGAAACCUCCCUACGAGUAGGGACUUGACGGUACUGUAAGAAUAAGGAUCGGCUAACUCCGUGCCAGCAGCCGCGGUAAUACGGAGGAUCCGAGCGUUAUCCGGAAUUAUUGGGUUUAAAGGGUUCGUAGGCGGCUUUGUAAGUCAGUGGUGAAAUUUCCUAGCUUAACUAGGACACUGCCAUUGAUACUGCAGAGCUUGAAUAAUAUGGAAGUAACUAGAAUAUGUAGUGUAGCGGUGAAAUGCUUAGAUAUUACAUGGAAUACCAAUUGCGAAGGCAGGUUACUACGUAUUUAUUGACGCUGAUGAACGAAAGCGUGGGGAGCGAACAGGAUUAGAUACCCUGGUAGUCCACGCCGUAAACGAUGGAUACUAGCUGUUCGGUUUUCGGACUGAGUGGCUAAGCGAAAGUGAUAAGUAUCCCACCUGGGGAGUACGUUCGCAAGAAUGAAACUCAAAGGAAUUGACGGGGGCCCGCACAAGCGGUGGAGCAUGUGGUUUAAUUCGAUGAUACGCGAGGAACCUUACCAGGGCUUAAAUGUAGAUUGACAGAUUUGGAAACAGAUUUUUCUUCGGACAAUUUACAAGGUGCUGCAUGGUUGUCGUCAGCUCGUGCCGUGAGGUGUCAGGUUAAGUCCUAUAACGAGCGCAACCCCUAUUGUUAGUUACCAUCGCGUAGUGGCGGGGACUCUAGCAAGACUGCCGGUGCAAACCGUGAGGAAGGUGGGGAUGACGUCAAAUCAUCACGGCCCUUACGUCCUGGGCUACACACGUGCUACAAUGGCAAGUACAGAAAGCAGCUACCUGGCAACAGGAUGCGAAUCUCCAAAGCUUGUCUCAGUUCGGAUUGGAGUCUGCAACUCGACUCUAUGAAGCUGGAAUCGCUAGUAAUCGGAUAUCAGCCAUGAUCCGGUGAAUACGUUCCCGGGCCUUGUACACACCGCCCGUCAAGCCAUGGAAGCUGGGGGUACCUGAAGUCGGUGACCGCAAG
rnacentral:rRNA from 1 species